GGUGGGUGGCUGGGUGCUGAUAUUUCGGAUGCUUGUUAGACAAAUUCAAGCAAGAGGAAAAAUUAGUGAUGAUGUUCGAUCUGAUUCAGAAGAUAAAGAUAGCCAUGAAGAUUGAGAUGGAAAGCAAGACCAUAAUGUAAUCUUAAGGCAAAGAUGAAUUGUCUUAGCUUCGAAAUUCUUA